GGCUAUGGAUGGCACCCAAUGUAAGUAAGAACCAACUCACAACUGUACACAGUUGCAACCAUAUUGUCAAUGCAAGACCAAUUCUUUUACGCCUCACACUUUGUACUAUUAAAGGCAGACGAGCCAUUACUGCAAGAUAUUAAAGUGUUACAUAUCUUCAAAUCAUAGUAAAAAGGUCACAUUUCUUCAAUACUAAUUUCAAUAAAAGUAAAACAAAAUCAAAGAAUUUAAUUGAUUAAAGAACUUACAGUAGUUUAGUGAGUACAAGAAGCUCAACUGUGAGUGGAGGAAGCAAUCAAGCAAGCCAAAUAAGAAAAGGAAGUAAUAACGCACUGUCAAAGAAAAAUGAACAAUAUAGAUUUAUCAAAUUUCAUUCAACAAAAUCAACUCUUUGU
rnacentral:lncRNA from 1 species